AGUGUACCUAUAAGAAAGCAUCCAAGCAAAAGUUAAAGAUUGUCGUUCAGUGAUGCAACAUCACAGGCAUAAAGGAAAAUCACUCAAAAAUGGUGGGUAGUACACGCACUGUAAUAACAGUUCCAAACUCACAUAAACUAUGUCUGUUUUCCCAUUAUUCUUCUGCAGUAUAAUUGGGUUUAUUUAUUUAUCUGAAACAUAUUUUUGCUGUUUCUGGCAUAUAAGAUUUUGAAAUUUCAACACAAAUAAUAAUUAUGACUAACAUGAAGAGAAUAUUUUUGCUCACAUAAAAAUUGCAGCAUGGUUGCCAUGUCAGAAGUAAAAUCCGUGGGUACGUGAAACGCAGUGUUUAUUACAGUUACUUGAUGGCCAGGUAAACUCUGAGAAUGUUAAACAACAAUCCUCAGCAAAGGUAUUUCCUUUAAAGAAGGUGUGUGACCCAUUUUUAGAUUUUGUAACGCAAAAUGAAGGUGCUUCAUAGGGGCUAUAGAAAGCAUCUUCACACUGAAAAAUCAGUUGUUUCAGGUUGAAUGGCAAUUUUCUCCUCUCUUUCGCGCUCUUUUUCUUUUUUUUAAUAAAAAUGCUGAGGGAACAGCUCAAGAGAAAGAAUGCAUAAAAACAUUACUUGUACAAAGAUUCUGAAAGAGAGUAUUAAUCAGAGUUUUCUUCAGAGAAAAAGGUUAACAAUAUCACAGCUUCUUUCCUUCCUAGAGCCUGCAGGUCUAUGCUGCUCUGAGUUGCAGCUAGGAUCAAGCUCCAGGCAAAAAGGAGGAUACUGGUAUUACACACAAGGCCGCCACCAGCACGGCUGAGGGGCUCGGCCAUGCCCUGCAGUGAAUCCACUGGAGUCGGCUGGAACCAGCUGCGUCCGGCAAGGGGCAGCCCUGGCCUCUCCUCACAGCAGCCGCCCCUGCAGACCCUCCACCAAAACGGGUGGUGCCACAGACACGCAGUACAGAAAUAUUGUGACUACUGGCAAAAAGAAAGCAGCUGCUUCAGACCAGACCACCAGAGCCACUGUACUUUAUCAGCACUGUGGAAUGACACUCAGCUUCAAAACCUUCCGUGCUCCUUCCUUCCCAGUCAUACAGCUACAGAAGAAACACAGGCUGCGCUGAUCAAGAAUUCUGAACCUAACAGUGACAGGACUGACUUUAGACAGAGGCCAAGCAAGCUACUAUUUUACAUCCUCUAAGACAGACUGUGAGAUCAACAGAAGUUCAACGCAACCUGUCACCACCACUGCUUUAUACCAAAGCUGGAGUCCCGAGUCCCAAGACAGAAGUACUGUAACAGAAAAAGAAUUGUAUUUUUACUGGCAUAGGAGAGAAGAAAAAAUAGAUUACACCAUGAAAAAUCAGUGUCUCCUUCAUGGCACCCUUACUAUGAGAUGAUCCCAAAUAUGAAGUUCCUUCAUCCCCACUGCUCUCUAUAGCCAUGUUUACCCAAGCAGCACCUCCACAUAUUAUUUUCCUUAGUAAGUAUCACCUCACUGGGACUGUUUUUAGAGCCCCACUCUCUGCUUUCUUUUCCUCAAUUGGCCUGUUAUGUAUUCUAAAACAACCAACACUAAAAGUACUCUAUCUGGUGAUUUCAGCUCCUGAAUAAUGACCCUUCCCUCUCCCCACCAACUACCUAGUUAGAAAAAAAAAAAUAUUAAAGCACCUUGUGCAUCAGAUAAAUAAAUCCAGUAAAACUUGUAGCAAAUCGGAAUUUUUUUUCAACAAAAAGCUGCAAAGCUUUUAUAAACACAUUGUAGCUACACAGUAUAUUUUAACUGCUUUCCUCUGCCUCUGACUGUACUGCUUAAUCUGGCUACACAUAUUAGAAACUCUGAAGCAUAUCUUCAAAUCACCAAAUUUAUUUCAAUUCCUUUCAGGUUUUCUGCCUGAAUAUAAACCUUGCUGUAAGAGGAGGGUUCCCAGAUGAAUCAGCUGAGCAAGCACAGAAAAACACACCACUUGCUGGCCAACCACAACCUCAGCGCUGAGGCAGCGUGCAGCUCCCAGGCACCAGGUACCAUAGAAGCCACUGACAGAUUUAGGGCAAAGAAGCACAAGUCCCUACGAGGUGGCAGACAUCCAAAACAAACAUUUCCUUACUAGCCAGCCAGCUGCUCAUAGGGCACAUUUCUCACUAUUAUAAAGUAUUUGCAUAGUAGUUGAUCAAGCCAGAUGGCCAAGUAGUAUACAGAUGUUAAUUAAGCAUUUGGGUACUAGAAACAAAAAGUUCCUUCCUGGCUGCUACCUGAUCAAACAUGAAGCAUCUUCUCUACAAGUGCAGUUAAACUGCCAGCUGCACAAUUGUAUCUAACCUGGGAGAGCAAUCAUUGUAGUGGGUGGAGGCAGUGGGAGAAUAAGUCAGGAGGGAAGGAUGGAGACAUAAGGGUGGCCAUGGCAAGAAAGAUGAGGUGUGAAACACUCAAGAAUUACUACCAGAAAGAAGAGAAAUGCAGCAAAUGCAGUAGGAAGGGGGGAUGCAGCCUUUAUACAAUCUCUUAUAGCCUAUCCAUGGAUCUAGAAGUUAUUUAAAUACAGUAACAGUAUUUGGGCAAAACACUUCCCAGGGACAUUGUAAAUAUUCAAAGAUAUAUACCUGGAGACCUAGUAAUGAACACAGAAGAAUUUCAAAUGGCAUACUUCAGGCAGAAAAAAACCCUCAUCAAUGACAUUGUAGCAAGGUAAAUCACUAUCUAUGAAAGUAUUGUAAAGUUAUAUGCACCUUAAAAUAAGAUCAAAGUGGGUUUCAAGAUUGUUUGCUAUUCGGUUAUUUUUCCUCCAUAAUAUCUUCUCACUGUAUUAUCUACUCAUUUUCAUACCUGGAUAAUCUGUACAGUAAAUCAUAGUUGCCCAGAUACAAAAUGAAACAGUGAAUCAAAUGCAAAGGGCUUGCCUAGCCUUUUCCAGGAGCUCAGGCAGCAAGACUUGGUGGUCUCUCAGGAGUACCCACAAGACAGAGCAAAACUAGCGACAACAUGCCUACUGCUCCUUUCGGUGCAGCAUAAAUCGCAUCAGAUCUCUACACCCCAGCAAGUACACUGGGCAUAGUACCAGUCCCUAUGGCACGCCAGUGCUGCUGGCCCCCAGAUGCAAGGAACAGCCGCUAGAGAAUAUCCAGCCCAUCUGCAGAAGCAGGUAAUGCUGCCAGGGCACAGAGGACACUUUAUGCCUCUGGGUUACUCAGCCCACUCUGAUCUUUCUGAAGAUUAAAUUAUGCCAGUUUUCUCUCCAUGUGUUCUGGACUGUAUGCACAUAUGCAGUCCCAAAGGACAUGCUGCAGAAGGCAUCCAACUCAGCGUCCCUAUAAAAAAAUUAAACGAGGACAUAUGUGCUUAAAGGAUCGGAUCCAGGGAUAAUCUGUUUCCUUGGACUGGAAUAAGGUGGUAUGUCUUCUAUAUGCUAUCGCUGUUUAUUAGUAGUAACUACGUAUUACACAAUAAAUUAGAUUAUAUGAAUAAAUUAGAUUUAUAUGAAGAAAAAGAAAGUAUUUAUCUUUUCAGCAUUACCUCAAAGCUUCAUCCUUGCCUCAAACAAGAGAAAUGCAUUUUAAAAUAAAAUACUGAAGGCAAAAACUGUCCAUAUCUAUAUUGUACUGUUGGUAAUAAAACCUUGGA